rnacentral:rRNA from 1 species
AAACUUUUUCAACAACGGAUCUCUUGGGUUUCUCGCAUCGAUGAAGAACGCAGCGAAAUUGCGAUAAGUAGUGUGAAUUGCAGAAUUUCAGUGAAUCAUCGAAUCUUUGAACGCACAUUGCGCCUCCUGGGCAUUUCCGGGAGGCAUGCCUGUCCGAACGUCAUCA